rnacentral:lncRNA from 1 species
CCAGAAACUAGGAAGAGCAAAAAGUCACUGUAAUCUCUAGGGAUAGAGGCCAAUGGGAAGAAAUGUGUUACUAGAUCCCCAAAGUGGACUAUUUGAAUGACUGCCAAAGCUCGAAUAGGGGGCCUCUUUGCCAGGAGCAUACUGCACCACUCUGCACUGUGUUUUACCUCAGUACAUGGAUAUGAGUUGCAGAAGCUAAUUUUGACUCUACUAACCUGCACAAAGUGGACACUGAAUUAAAAAGAUUGACAAUUAUAUUAAUAACUCAAGCACAGAUAAUCCACCUUGCCUCAUCAAACCAGAAAACAAUUCAAACCUGGCCUCCUUCUAACUGGAAGCCACAUUUUAAGAACUUAUUGUGAAGAACUGGAAAGCCUCCAAUAGAACAGAAGCUAAAAGCAGAAAUUAUAAAAGCUGUUACACCUACUCAGCUCUAUUACAUGUUGGAAAAACUGAACCAGAGAAACAAUUACAUACACUCUUGUCUUCUGGAAAAGCUGAAUUGGGUUUUGGUCUGAAUCAAUAGGACCCAUUAUACAGGCUGCCUUUCCAGCUCUCCAAUCAUACUUCCAAGAAAACUGCUCACUCUCAGAACCAAGGUUCAAGUUGUACAUUGGGAUUUGGGUAGAGGCUAUAUAUACAGUGAUGCCCAUCUACCCCUGAGAUCUAAAAAUCUAAGAUGAAAACGAGCACACAGUCUUGGCAGCAUUGGGGUAACAGACUAUGAAAGAAGAAAUCAGAUUGGAAAAUUCAGUAUAUCAAUGAAGAAAAUAAUCACUCAAGGAGAGGAAUAAACAGCAAAACAAUCUAUAUAUUUAAUUAUAGAUACAAUUGUUUCAAUGCUGAUUAUUCAUCCUUAUAUAACUGUCUACAGCUAUUUAGGGUUGUCUUCAUCCAUUUUGUGUUGCCAUUGCAGAAUACGUGAAACUGGGUAAUUUGUAAAGAAAAGAGAUUUUUUAACUUAUGGGUUCUGCAGGAUGGGAAGUUCAAGAAACAUGACACCAGCAUCUGCUUGGUUUCUGUUGAGGACUUUCAUGCUUAUAUCACAACAUGGCAGAAGGUUAAAGGGGGAGUAGACAUGUGCAAAUAGGCAAAACCUGAGGGGCAUCUUGGCUUUAUAACAACCCACUCUUGGAGGACUAAUUCAUUCUUGAGAGAACUAAUCUGGUCUUGCCAGAGAAAAAAUUCACUCACUGCCUACUGUGAGAAUAGCACUAAGCCAUCCAUGAGAGUGGAGCCCCAUCACUCAAACACCUCCCAUUAGGCUCUACAGCUUACAGAUUAUACCUCCUAACAUUGCCACAGUGGGAAACAAAUUUCAAGAUGAGAUUUGGUGGGGACAGACCAUAUCUAAACAAAGAGUAAACAAGGGUAAACAACUUUUGAGAACAUACUUGUGAUCCUUUAUUUCAACCCAGAAUGAUGCCAGAAUUUUGGAGAUGGGGCUCAGAGCAAAUCAGUAAGUUACAAUUCUCAAGUUUCACAGGGAAGUGGGAGUGAGAGACACAUCAUGGAGGACCACGCGACUCUCAGUUACACUGGGUGAAUUGUCUUCAUUGAAUUCCCGCACCAUGCAGACUCAUUUAACGGUAGUUCUUCCAAAGCUGCUUUUCUGCUUUGCUUUUGGAAUACUACUUUAUCUAAAUUUUCAUCUACCCUUUCAAUUCCUAUGCUUCUUGUGUUGAUUUCUCUUUUCCGACUUCUCAGAUUUUUAAUCUCAUUUUUAAACAUGAGAAUUCUCUGAGGUCUAUUUCUUGACCCUUUGUCCUCUUUUUAACUAUCCCUUGGGAAACUUGCACAAUCUAAAUGACUAACUAGAACUUAUGAGAUUAUGAGCCAGAUCUCUCCCUGCUUAUGAGCCCAUUUCAAUUAGAUGUCUCAGCAUCAUUGUAAGUUAAAAUGCAUAAAAUCCAAAACAAUAAAUUUUUCUCAAACCAAUGUUAUAUCUGAAAUGGUUAUUUCAAUGACUUUAAUGACUUUCAAUAACUUCAAUGACCUUAGCUUCUUUCUGUUCUUUCCACAAGCUAGUGCUUUAAUUUUUUAAGAAUAAACUUAACAGAUGAAAUGAUAAAGACAUAAUUUUUAUGUUGUGUUAUACUCUUGAUGGAAAUAUUUCCAAAUCUUUUGAAUGAAGAGCUUUGAAGAAAAACCUG